UCCGGUAUGGUGUAUCGGCUAACAUUACCGCUUUUCAAAGCCAUGUAGCUUAUAUAAGCUUUCUACGCGGUAGCGCGGGGUUCGAUUCCCCGUACCGGAA